GAGCCUGCAGGAACCAAGCGUUGACCAUUCCCGUGUCACUGGAAGAAGGACUGCACCUCUUCUGGCCCGACGCAGCGUCUGCCCGGAGAGCGCUCUGCGCGCUGUGAGCGACCAUAGGUGUUUCGAGUCCCGUCUCCAUGGAGCAUGAAUACAAGUUUCAGCCAGGAAAUGUCCACACGCAAAUACAUCUCAGAAUUAUUCAACAGGUAAGAGGACCACCCUUUGUUUUUAGGGGAAUGAAUUUUCAAGGGGAAAAAACCAAGGUCCCCCCAAAAAGAUGCAACAACUUGGGGAUGUUCAUUG
rnacentral:lncRNA from 1 species